CCCUUAGAUGUCCGGGGCUGCACGCGCGCUACACUGAAGGAAUCAGCGUGCUAAAACCAUUGUCGAAAGGCAUUGGUAAACCCAUUAAAAUCCUACGUGAUUGGGAUCGGGAAUUGCAAUUAUUUCCCUUGAACGAGGAAUUCCCAGUAAGUGUGGGUCAUAGGCUCGCGUUGAUUACGUCCCUGCCCUUUGUACACACCGCCCGUCGCUGCCCGGGACUGAGCCGUUUCGAGAAAAGCGGGGACUGCUGCUGUCGGGGCUUUCGGGCCUUGGCUUCGGUGGAAACCGCUUUAAUCGCAGUGGCUUGAACCGGGCAAAANUCGUAACA
rnacentral:rRNA from 1 species